rnacentral:lncRNA from 1 species
UGCUGCAGAAUAUAUAGGACUUCAUAAUUCACUCAGAAAUCCCAUCAUUGAUACUUUUCCUAUGAUAUAACUAUUGUUUUGAAUAUAUCCUGCUUCAAAUGAAAAAUAGAGAAUGUAUCAAUGUCAAGAAAUUCAAAAGGUAAGUUAGCUAACAUUUCAAAAAUCCCAAGUCCUUACAGUCUACCUUACUCUACCCACACUACUAGAACAUUCUGAACUACAACACAACUGCUUUUUAACAGAUCCUAUUUUUGCUCACAGACUAAGAUACAUUAAAACUGGGAGAAAGAAUGUAUGAACUCAAGGAACCAUUUUACCCACACCUAUACUGAUAAGCCUCUUAACAGCUUCAACUAAUUCUAGUCUUACUAAAUAUAGAUCAGCUCCCCUGUCCCCAGAAUCACCCCCACCUCCAGCAUGAGCCUGAGGGCUUACCUCCAACAUGACCACGCAGAUCUGUUUGACACACUCAAUGAUGGACUGCGGAAUGCCAGCAAUAGUGAUUGCCCGCUCAGUUGAGUUGGGGAGCAUAUCCCCUGCCACCUGGACCUGAGCCCCUGUACUCUUUAGGGUAAAAGGAAAUUAAACAAACAAAAAGAAAUUUCAGAAAACCUGUUCUUCAAUUCCUCCUUACACCAGCUUUAGAAUAUCAAGUUCAAUAGAGCCUUAUUUCCACCCUUUCUUUCUCAUUUCCCAUUCUUCCUUACUCCAGAUAUUACUGCUUAUUAAAGUUAAAAAUACAAUACCUCUGAGAGACAAGAAUAAAUCUGAGUAACAGCCUACAUUUAACCUGCACUCAGAAAAAAAGUCCCUUCUAUACAAUUUACUCUUACCGAGUAAUGAAAGCUUUGUGGGUCAAACAAAAUCCUCUUAACAUCACCCAUUCCACCAGGUAGUGGUGGCGCACGCCUUUAAUCCCAGCACUUGGGAGGCAGAGGUAGGCUGAUUUCUGAGUUUGAGGCCAGCCUGGUCUACAGAGUAAGUUCCAGGACAGCCAGGGCUAUACAGAGAAACCCUGUCUCGAAAAACCAAACCAAAAAGAAAAAGAAAACAAAGCAAAAAACACCCGUUCAUUUUUCUCUUAUUGAGCAAAUAUUUUGUCAGGUACCAUUCCAACCAAGUAUUCAUCAAAAGAAAAUCUUACACUGGUGUUUACACUUACAAUCUCAUCACUGAAAAGGUGAAAGAGGAAAACCAUCUAAUAUGUUUGUAACCAGUCUGGGAUAUAGUGAGAGACUAUAAUAAACUUAACUAAAGCUACCAUCCCCCACACCAACAAACACAUCUUCCUGGACCAAAACAACUAACAAUCCUGAACAAAGACUUCAAAACAUUCCAACUAUUUUUGGAAUCAUUUAGUAACAUUUCACUUAGACAUGAAAAAUGUCAUGAGAGAUGGCUCAGUGGUUAAGAGCACUGACUGCUCUUACAGAGAUCCUGAGUUCAAUUCCCAGCAACCACAUGGUAGCUCACAAUUAUGUGUAAUGGGAUCUGAUGCCCUCUUCUGGUGUGUCUGAAAAAAGCUUCAGUGUGUGUACUCAUAUACAUUAGUAAGUAAAUAAUUGUACAAAGAAAAAAGGGGGGGGGGAGUAUAGAGACUGUCUAAAAAAAAGAAAAAACAUAUCUAGGGAAAUGCCAGAUAGCUCAAGAGGUAAAAAUACCUUACAUUCAAUCCCUGGGGGACUCACAUGGUACAAAGAGAGAACCAAGACCUGCAAGUUGUUCUGACCAAGCAAGUAUAUACACAAACACACACAAUGUAAUAAAUUGUUUCAGGCACGUAUGCUGCACCUUCUUUAAAUUACCAGUACUUAAGACGCAGAGGAAGGAGGAUCUCUGCAUUUACAACCAGCCUAGUCUACAAAAAUAAGUAUUAGGCAGAAAGGCUUCACAGUGAGUCCUACUCUGAAAAUUUUAAUUAUUUUAAGGGGCUGGAAAAAUGGUUAAGACCAUUUGUUGCUAUUGCUAGGGACCUGGAUUAAGUUCCUACUACCAACAUGGAGCUUAAAACCACCUAUAACACCAUCCAGGAGAUCCAUCUCUUUUCUGAAUUCCACUAAUGGCACAUAUAUAGUACAUACAUACAUACAUACACACAGUAAGACUAAAAGCUUACAAAUAAAAUAAUGCUAUUAAAUUCUUUAGGCUUAUAGAUGGCUCUGGAUUUACAGUAUAUAUUGUUCUUGUAGAAAAACUGAGUUCAGGGGCUGAGAGAUGGUGGCUCUGCAGUUAAGACAACUGACUGCUCUUCCAGAGGUCCUGAGUCCAAUUCCCAGCAAUCACGUGGUAGCUCAAAGCAUUUGUAAUGAAAUCUGAUGUGUGUGUGUAUGCAUGUAUGUAUGUGUGUGUGUGUAUAUGUAUGUAUGUAUGUAUAUAUAUAUAUAUAUAUAUAUAUAUAUAUGUGUGUGUGUGUGUAUAUAUAUAUUCUUUAAAAAAAAGAAAAGAAAAAAGCCUGAGUUCAAUUCCAAGCACCCAUAAAAGUUCACUCCCAACACAUGAAAAUUCUAGCACCAAGGGAUCCAAAAACCCAACUCACAUGCAAAUAAAUCUACAAGUGGCUCAUGGCUUUAAACCCAGCACUCAGAAGGCAGGAUGUUUUAAGUUCGAAUCCAGCCUGGUCUACAGAGUGAGAUCCAGAAGAGUCAGGGCUACAGAGAAACCCUGUCUCAAAAAAAAAAAAAAUCAAAAUAGACAACCAAAUAAAUCUACCAAAAAAAAUAAAUAAAAAUUUUAGUGGUUCAGUAGGUAAAAACAUUGAAACCCAAUCUACCCAUCAGAGUUAGAUGCCAGUGAACCCACAGCCACAUGUGCUUAUAAGUAAUUACAAGUAAUGGGGAAAGGCAUAAGAAAGAUGGCUCAGCCUAUAAAAUGCUUAUAGCACAAGAACCAAGAACACCCUUAAAAAGCUGGGGAAGAGCCGGGCGUGCACGCCUUUAAUCCCAGCACUCGGGAGGCAGAGGCAGGCGGAUUUCUGAGUUCGAGGCCAGCCUGGUCUACAGAGUGAGUUCCAGGACAGCCAGGGCUACACAGAGAAACCCUGUCUCGAAAAACCAAAAAAAAAAAAAAAAAAAGCUGGGGAGGGCAUUUGCAUUUGUGAUCCUAAGACUUGAAGACAGACAAGAGAAUCCCUGGGGGCUUUAGAGGAUAAACUGGGGGUGGGUGGACACCACACACAAAAAAAACACCAAACAAACAAAAGUAAAAAAAAAAAUGUUGAUACCUGCCACAGGGGCACACACCUUUAAUUCUAUCACUUGAAAGAGAGAGAGA